CUUUUUUUUUUUAAGCAUAGAUCUAAGAAAUUAUUAAACUAUUUUCUUGUGGUGUAAGAAUAAUCAAUACAUCAUUCAAUAUAGGCCUACUUUGAGUAUUUAUUUAGUUUUAAUGGAUUUAUUAUUAUUAGCAUUUUUUUUGCAACAACAACAUUUAUUUUAAAAAGUUACAGGAAACUAUAAAUCUUGUAGCAUAACAAAUAUACAAUACUUAAUUCAAGAUGUAUUCUCUGAAAAGUAUUUAUGUUAUUUUAAUGGAAACAACAAAAUACUGAUUUGAAGAAGUUUUUUUUGUUUGUUUGUUUGUUUGUUUGUUUUUUUGCAGUGAUACAACAACAUGUUUAAAUAACAUGACAUUUAUUUCCAGACUGUAAACAACUCAGAAACCCGAGCAACCAGUAGAAACAUAACAAUUAAUAUGAAACACAUCUGUUUGUAAUAUAUAAUCUAAUGUGACAGUUUCUGUGGAGAGGAUCACAGGUACGGUGGAGGAUAGAGCGCAUGUAAACACAUUCCAGCAUGCGUGCGCUCAUCGCUCCAGCUGUAAGCUAGCGGGCGGCUCUGUGCCCAGAAAGCUCACAUUGAUCUGUGCUGGGAAUUCCAUGCUUAUACAUGCAGCUCCAAAGCCAGCGGUCCAUGCCAAUCAUUCUGACUGGAUGUCCUGCUCCAACGCCUGCUCACAGCGUGUCAAAACCUCUGUCACAAAGACUCUGAUUGAUGAAGCUCCCUUAAAUAUCUUUGUGUGUGUACCCAGAUCUCUCUGAAAUCAUAGCUAGACUGCUGAUCUCAUGAUGAGGGCCUGCAGAAAAACAUCAGUUACCAGGAACAGGCGUCAGUUUUCUACUUUUCAUGCUUCCUCAUUUCAUAAAUGUCAAAGGAUGCAGCUAACAAGAAAGACUCCAGUAAGAAUCCUCAGCAUUGAUCAAGAAAGUCCACAGCUAAACCCAUCUAGAGUGGGAAUCAUCUUGGAAGAAAAUUUUGUAAUGGAUGAACUGACCGAUCUCAGGCUUUCUAUUUUUUAAUUUUUUAUUUUUUUCAGACUGAUUUAUGCCCUGCACCUGGACUAGGUGUAUGAAAAGCUCUUUAUAUUUUAUUCAGCAGGUAAUGCUCAACCUCGGAAAAAGUGAGUUUGCACCCAUAAUUUAGUACUGCCAAUAUUGUAAACUCAAGAGUGGAAUAAAACCAUAUAGUUCUGAUGCUGUUUGUUGUAA
ensembl:lncRNA